ACAGAACAACCACAAUAAAAAGUUUCUCAAGUAAGAAUACAAGAUUUACAAUUUACCUCCCUAAUAUACUUGCAAGAUUGUUGAAACUCUGCUCCCCUGGAUCAGCAUAUAAUGAUUACAACAUACAGUAGUUUAUGUCAUAACUAAUAUGGUGGGCUUUCAGAAAUCUAGGAAUUAUUAUUAAUAUAUUUUGAAAGCUAUAGAAGCUACAAGAUAGCCUCCACUGACACGAAUAAGAAACAGUUAUCACUUCCUUUCAAGAGAAAAGGCAAAAAAAGUUAAGAUACUUGUCUUCUUCCUCUAUGGUAGCCAAGCGUUUCAAUGGACAAUGGAACUGCUGAAAGCCAGGAAAAGCAACUCAGGAAAAUGAACAAUACAGCAGGUGUGAAGCAGCAAUGAGAUGUUCUGCUUGUUUUAUACAAAAGCAACUUAAUUGUUUUUUGUAUAAACAUUGAAAUGUUCUCAUAUACGAACUCACAAUAGCCAACAUGCAUAGACUAACAUAUCCAUGAAGACACGAGUACAUGCAUAUAACCAAUGUAUUCAUAUGAAUCACCAAGUAUGAAGCAUAUGAUGAAGCUAGGUACCGGCAGUGUAAGCAAUGAAGACAUCCAACACAUGCUUCAGUAUUAGCAUAAAUUAUGUUAAGAGAUUAAUACAUUGAUUCACUAACAAAAUGUUGACUAUCAGUUCUAAUGCUAUAUGGUACAAUCCAACAAGAAAUGAAACUAAUGUCCCUUUCUUAUUUCUCAUAAUGGAUCAAGAUAAGACUGCAGAUAAAUUAACCAUACAAACAAACUUGUACUGAUCUAAGUAGCAAAAUAUUGUAAUGAACCAUUUGGCAUGCAUGUUUGCUUCCUGUCACAAACAACUUCACCGAGACCUUCGCUAUUAACACUGGCAAGUACGGUUAAUGCACCUUAGGUAUUUAGCAGAUACUGGAGUUCUCUAUUAACACUGGGGAGUACUACUAAUGCAAUUUUAGGCAUUCAGCAGAUAGUAUGAGUACUAGUCAUGUGUUUUUGGCACUCAGCAGGUACUGCAUUAAGAACCAAACACAAGCAUGAACUACACUAAUAUAUACAAAAAAAUGAAAAUACUACCAAUAAAAUGAAAAGGGCAGCAGUGAAUUGCAUAGGUCCAUCCAAUU